GUGUUGUAUGAAAGGAGAGAAGAUUAGCAAGCACUCCCCUGGACAAGGAUAGACGAGGCUUCGGCCUACAACACACAUACAGUUAAGGUAUUGCCACCUACUUAGUGGCAUCUAACUGCCGGUUUUU
rfam:Erinaceus europaeus unplaced genomic scaffold scaffold00531, whole genome shotgun sequence